AUUAAUUUAAGUGCAAAAAGUAUUUUUAAGAGGUUGUGAAUAGAUGUCCACUGACGUCUUUUACACGUCUAGACUAGACUAGUAGGAAAAAAACAGAAUUAUCUUUAUGAAAUACACGAUUUGUAUACAAAGUAAAUAUAUUAACUUUAUCUUGUUUAAAUAAAUUAUAAUCUUAAAGUGCCCAGUGUGAUUGCAAAGCCACAAUACAUUUUAGUCAUUAUUACAACCUGCUUUAUUAUUAAAUGUAUGCAUAUAAAUGUAAAGAAAGUAUAUAUCCGGUUACCAUUUAGGUCUGAGUUGGAUGUAAUUUCAUAAACUGCGCUGCCAAGAAUGUUUUAACAAAAUAUUUUACAAAAUCGCGCGAUAGGAUAGAUUUUCUCGCGAGAUAGUUGUCACGUGACGUGUUCUCCCGGAAGUACGUCGUGUGCAGCCAGCAAGCCACGAGGAGAGGGUGAAUUUACGAAGGAGUUGUGUCUAUAUAUUAUAUAAAAUCUACUAUUGGUUGAAGAUCAACACAAACCAAAUGAAGAUGUUGUAGAUUCUACAAAUAAAAAAGAAGGUGAUGGCACACAUCAUGACAGUAAACAUCGGUAUCAAGAUGGUGUGAUUGAUCUAUACCCUAGAAUAAGCUGUGACACUGAUGCUGUGGUCACAUAAUGAACAGCCAUCUUACAGACAACCGAAAGAGUAUUGUCUACAAUCCCAAAUUCUGGAUUGACGAUCCAGUACCAGUGGGCACCCCAAUCCCAGAGAGCAUCCAUCUGAAACCAGGUGAGGUAACACAACGAAAAAAUUACCGGAUGGAGACUACCUGAUUCUUCACCUAUGGCCUCAGCUUCAAAUGCAAGAAUUAAGAAAUGCUAUAUGACUGUGUAUUUUGCAUUAUGAAUACAUCAAAGAUGUUGAUAAGUUGACCUGCGUCCAGCAACUGUCUGAGUUGGUGGAUAUUCUGUCAGAGACUCCGUGGACAACGUUAUGAAUAGGUUAUUUGUCUAAGGUGAAGUAAUCUUACAGUUCUUUCACAGAAUGAUGUGAAAUUGUCUUAUGGCAAAGUUCAAUAUGAAGGGUGGUGGACAUCAGGAAAAGAAGUCUUUUAAAGGCACACCUUUGUAUUAUGUUAUUUAAGAUGCUGUGAAGAGGUGGAGCCCAAAUGCCACCGAAUCGGAAAUAGAUGCAGCUAUGGCAGACCACCUCAAGCACGCUCCUGGAAGAGCUGGGGGUGGUGGAUACAAAAAAGCCUAACAGCUGUGAUGUGUUAAAGAGAGAGUUCACCAAAAAAGGAAAAUUGUUAUAAUUUUCUUAUCCACAUGUUUCAAACCUGUAUACCUUUCUAUUUUCUGCUGAACACAAAGAUUGAAGAAUGUUUGUAACUUCACAACCCAUUAACUGUCAAUAUUUUUUUUUACAAUUGUAGUAAUGGGUUGUGAGAUCUGCUUUGUUAAAAACAUUCUUUCAAAUAUCUUUGUGUUCAGCAGAACAUAGAAAGGUAUACAGGUUUGAAACAUGAGAUGGAAUAAAUGACUAAAUAUUAAUUUUUGGGUGAACUAUCCCUUUAUAGAAAGUGUUUUGAAAUUGUUAUUAUAGUUAAAUGGUUAAAAAAUAAAAAGUGCUAAAUCAGAACAUGCUUCUUUUUUGGUUAUGGCGACAAAUAAUGUGUUCUUUAAUGUGUUUGUGAAGUACACGUGGUUAAAACGUUUUAUGGACGUUCAGGUCUGACUGGACCAAUUUUGAACCGAUUUUGAACCUUUGUGAAUAUGUGUUAAACCUCAAUACAAUUGAUUGCCUUUCACGAUGUUACACAGUGGGUGUAUAUUCAUUUUAUAUGCAUACAUUUAAACAAUGCAGCAACACAUUUAAACAUCCAGAAGACGGCACAUUUAGACGUCCAGGGACGGGCAGAAAAGACGUGUAAUUCACGGCCAAAUGACGUCAAAGACGUGCGCUCAACUUUAAUUUAGGGUAUUUUUCAACCGUGAUGGGACGUGACGAAGGGACGUCUUUUCAACGGUCAUAAAACGUCCAAAUGUUUGCUAUAUGGGGGCUUAAAACAUAUUUAAACUAUGCAGGAACACAUUUAAACAUCCAAAAGACGGCGCAUUUAGACGUCCAGGGACGUGCAGAAUAGACGUGUAAUUCACGGCCAGAUGACGUCAAAGACGUCGGCUCAACUUUCAUUUUGGAUAUAUUUUUCAACGCGGACGGGACGUGACGA